AUGAGGAAUAACAAUAUAUAUAACAAAAAUAAUAACAACAGUAACGAUAGUAAUAACAGUAACAAUAGUGACAACAGUAAUAAUAACAAUAGGAAUAAUAGAAAUCGAAACAAUCGUAACAAUAACAAUAAUGUGAAAAAGAAAAACAGAAAUAAUAUUAAAUAUUAUAAGAACAGUAAUGAUGAAGAUUCUAAGUUAAAUAUAGAAGCUGUCCCAUUUAAUAUAUUAUAUAAACUAUUAAAUAAAUAUGCUUUUAGUAAUAGCCAUAAUUUACAUAAUAAAAAAUUAGAUGUAUCACCAUGUGAAUUAAUUUUCAAACAUAUACUAAUGUUUUAUUGUUAUGUGAGAGUAAAGGAUAUACCGACACAACAUAUACAAGAGACUUCAUAUAAUUAUACUCUUGUGAUUGAACCAAUGGUGACAAUUAAAAAUAAUUUACCUAAUCCUAUUACAGUUAUUAUCCGAUUAAAAAAUGAAAAAAAAAUCCUUGAUCUAAUUCAUAAUAAAAAGGAGAAAAACAAAAAAAAAAAAAAAAUUGAUAAAAAUAAACAUAAGCUAUAUGAAUAUAAUGAUGAAGAUAAUGAGGAAGAUAAUGAAAAUGAAACUGAGGAUGAAUAUGAAGAUGAUGUAACAAAAAUAUUAAAAGGUAAAAAAUUAUAUGCACUUGUACCACCUCACUAUUAUUGGUGUUUACCUAUAAGUACUCAAGCGUUCCAUAUGAAAGUAUGUUAUCAUGGGUUACAAAUAGAAAAAAUGAAUUAUAUUUAUGAUUUUGUUUAUGGUAUAAAAAAAUAUUUUGAUUAUAAAAAUGUAAAGUUACCAAAUUUGAGUAAAAUUGAUUAUAAAGACAUGAACGAUCAUGAUGUAAAUAACAUGCUUGAUACAUAUGGUGAUGUAUGUACACCGAUAGUACCUAAUAUGGAAAUGGAAACUAAUACAAAACAGAACGAAAAAAUUGGUUAUAGUUGUAAAAGUGGAAAUGUUGGCAAUGAUGGUAGUGGUGGUAGUGGUGGUAAUGGUGGUAGUGGUGGUAAUGGUGGCAAUGGUGGUAAUGGUGGCAAUGGUGGUAAUGGUGGUAAUGGUGGUAAUGGUGGUAAUGGUGGUAANNNNNNNNNNAAUGGUGGUAAUGGUGGUAAUGGUGGCAAUAUAAACGAACUAAAGGUCCAAACAAAAGACGAAAAAUAUAAAAAGAAUAUAAAUUAUUUGCUUUAUAAAAAUAAAUAUGAUAAGAUGAAAAUAAAUGAAGAAGUUUAUCAGAUGUACGACACGAUUAUUAAAGAACUUCGUAAUGGGGAAGUCAGUCACAACAGUUUAACUGACAAUUACAAUAGCGAUAAUACCGGAAGCAACAAUUAUAACACCAAUAAUGAUAAGGUCAGCUAUGAUAGUAGCAGCGAUGAGGUAUUCUGGGAAAAGAAUAGAGAAAAUGAUGGUUAUAAUAAUGGUACUAAUAGUUGUAAAAAAAAAAUGGAUUACUUAAACAUGUUACAAAUGAAUAAAAACGAUAAAAAUAAUUUAAAAAGUAGGAGGACAUACAAAUACAAUUUUUUAUAUACGACUAAAAAUUUUUUUUUAGUUUAUAUGCCUAGUACAGAUACUAUAACAUCAACAAAAGUACUAAACCAUAAAUGUGGUUUUAUCGGUAAAAUAUUUACUUAUGAUGAAUUAAAAUAUAUAUAUUUUGAAAAUAAAGUAUCCCAAAUGAAUAAACAAAUUUAUGAUAAUUUAUAUAAAUUUAAAACUAUUAUGAUUUCUGCUGAUGUAUCUAGAAGAAAAAUUGAUUUUUAUUUUCCGUUUUUUUUUGAAAAUACUACUGAUGUAUGUAUAUAUGUAAAUAGUAAGUUAUUACCUCCUAAUUGUCGUUUAUAUAUGACAGAAGAGGAGGCUAAAAACAUCCGUUUAAAAUCAUAUAAAAAUGAUAAUAUAAAUAAUAAAAUAUUAUGUAGUAAUGUCAGUAAUAAAAUUGAUUGUACCAAAACAAAUAUGAUACGCCCAUUAAUUAAUUUAGUAUAUAAAAGAAUUAACAUAAAACAAAAAGUCUGUUUUUGGGGAAAAUAUGAUGAAGAAAAAAAAAAAAAAAAAAUAAAUAACGUAAUAGAAACGGAUGUAAUAAAUAAAAAAGAAUAUAAUCGUAAUAAAUAUAAAUAUAGAAAAAAAAAUUCCAAAUUAACUAAAUGGUCUCUAAACGAAUUAAACAAUAUAAAUAAAAUUGAAAAGAAUAAAAAUGGUAACAUAAUAAAAGACUUAUCAGAUAAUAGUAGUACUAUUUCAUUAGAUGUGAAUGACUCAAAUAAUUGCCACAUUACUGGUUCUUAUAAAAAUAAUUCAGUAAAUGAAAAAAAUAAAAAACAAAUCAGUACUAUAUUAAAUAAUGCAGAAAAUGGGGACAAUGGUCCAACUACAUGCGAAAGCACUAUCACUGACAAUUCACCUGAAUUAAGUUAUAACAUGUUUAACAAAGAAGAUUUGUAUGUUAAGGAUGCCAAAAAAGAUAGUUUGUUUGCUGGUGCGUCUAUUGGUACUACUGAAAAUGACAUAGACAAUAAUUAUAGUAUACGAAAAAAAAAGAAAUAUCCCAAAGGAUCUAAGUCUAAUGCUCACGAAUAUGAUAAAAGGACAUUUAAAAAAAUUAUUAUUAAUAGUAGAUCUUUAUUUAAACUAACAAAAAAAAAAAACAAAAAAAAUAAAAAUGAAAACGACAACGAUAACGAUAACGAUAACGAUAACGAUAACNNNNNNNNNNAAAAAAAAAUGAGAAAAGCAGUGGCGGUGCUAACGGUACCAAUAUUAGUAAUAUCACCAAUAAUAGUAGCAGUGUUUAUAGUACUAUUAAUAGUAGUAGAAAAAAAUAUAUAA
rnacentral:lncRNA from 1 species